rnacentral:rRNA from 1 species
UACGUAGGGUGCGAGCGUUAAUCGGAAUUACUGGGCGUAAAGCGUGCGCAGGCGGUUCGUUGUGUCGGCGGUGAAAUCCCCGGGCUCAACCUGGGAAUGGCCGUUGAAACUGGCGAACUGGAGUGUGGCAGAGGGGGGUGGAAUUCCGCGUGUAGCAGUGAAAUGCGUAGAGAUGCGGAGGAACACCGAUGGCGAAGGCAGCCCCCCUGGGCUGACACUGACGCUCAGGCACGAAAGCGUGGGGAGCAAACAGG